rnacentral:rRNA from 1 species
AUGAGAGAGUGCCGGGAUGAAUCAAGGAGGAAGCAAAGAGACAAACAAAAUAGCAGGCUGAGAAUUGAAAGAAAUAUUAUGGAAGGGUUGUAUAAAAAAGGAGGGGUGGUUAACGUACCAGAUGAUGAUGAAGAAGAAAUUCAGAUGAAUAUUAGAGAAGCAUUGCGUGACCCGAAUGUCUCUCGCAGAAUUGAAAGGAGAAUUGGCAAGGGGGGUGUGGGUGAUGUGCAUGUUUCUGUUGGUAAAAGGAGUAUCAGCGCCUAUUUUGACAGGCAAUUAUCUAGCAACAAAGUAUCUAUGCAGCCCAAGAUCAGUAGUGCUUUGGAUCCUAAUUCAAGAGAUGCACUUGGUCUAGCAAAGAAGUCGUCUUCUAUAUGA